UACGUAGGGGGCAGCGUUGUCCGGAUUUAUUGGGCGUAAAGAGCGUGUAGGCGGCCAGGUAGGUCCGCUGUGAAAACUCGAGGCUCAACCUCGAGAUGUCGGCGGAAACCAUCUGGCUAGAGUCCGGAAGAGGAAAGUGGAAUUCCCGGUGUAGCGGUGAAAUGCGCAGAUAUCAGGAAGAACACCAAUGGCGAAAGCAGCUUUCUGGGACGGUACUGACGCUGAGACGCGAAAGCGUGGGGAGCGAACAGG
rnacentral:rRNA from 1 species